AACGUAGGACGCAAGCGUUAUCCGGAGUUACUGGGCGUAAAGCGCGGGCAGGCGGUUCGAUGCGUCUGAUGUGAAAUCUCCUCGCUCAACGGGGAGAGGCCAUUGGAAACGGUCGGGCUGGAGGGCAGUAGAGGCAGGCGGAAUUCCGGGUGGAGUGGUGAAAUGCGUAGAGAUCCGGAGGAACACCAGAGGCGAAGGCGGCCUGCUGGGCUGCACCUGACGCUGAGCCGCGAAAGCCAGGGGAGCGAACGGG
rnacentral:rRNA from 1 species